AUGCGGUUAGAAGAUGAAAGAUAUGAUGAUUCAGAACAAAAUAGUGAUUUCUAUAACUCACUAGAUGAUGUGGGACUACAUAAUUUAGACAAUGCAAUGGAAGCCAUGGAAGUAGAAAGUAGUGGUAAAAGAAGAAGGGGAUAUGGUGAGAGAAUCUGUAAAAGUUCUUUGGGAACAAUGGGUAGAAUCAUACCCUAG
rnacentral:rRNA from 1 species